UACGUAGGGGGCAAGCGUUGUCCGGAAUCAUUGGGCGUAAAGGGCGCGUAGGCGGCCCGAUGAGUCCGCUGUAAAAGUCCAGGGCUCAACCCUGGAAAGCCGGUGGAUACUGUCGGGCUAGAGUCCGGAAGAGGCGAGUGGAAUUCCUGGUGUAGCGGUGGAAUGCGCAGAUAUCGUAAGGAAGACCAGUGGCGAAGGCGGGUCUCUGGACAGUUCCUGACGCUGAGGCACGAAGGCCAGGGGAGCAAACGGG
rnacentral:rRNA from 1 species